UAUAUGUAUUAAAUCGAUGUACAAGUAAAAGUGGAUCAUCACAUCUCUAUAUCUAAUCAGUUAAUAAUUUUUAUUUUCAAGAUGUGCUAAUUUAUAUAUCUAAAUUAGAGUUUCAUGUUACAUUUCCUUUAAAAUCUUGAGCGUGUUUUAUAAUUGUUUUAAAUUUUUGUUUCAGGCUCAAGAGGUAUCAUCACAAGACUACGACGUUUCUGAAAUACAGUGUUCGUUUUCAUCGGAUUCUCUGCGGGCGGGCAAAGCGUUACUGAGCGUUAAAGACGUAAUAUCUGCUAGACUGAAAAAACCAGAGGGUUUUAAAGGUCAUCCAUUGUUCGCAGACGACCGAACUGUAGAUCCCUUGAUCGACCCAUUUUGUCAGAUCCGACCGGACUUAUCAGAUGUAUCCCUGUUGACUUAUAACCUAUUGGUCACAGACUUCACAAGGUGCGGUGUCCUCAAGAGAAACGGUUUCGUUCACGUCCGGGUGUGGUUCCCACAGUUUCCCGGCGUGGUCAUGAUGUCCGAUCAAGAAUUAAUCAUUAUGUGCAAACCACCAGAACCGACUGUGAUCGAAAACAAGGCCGCCGGUUUCGCCGGAAGUUU